rnacentral:rRNA from 1 species
GAACGCUGGCGGCGUGCUUAAUACAUGCAAGUCGUGCGAGAAAGUCACCUUCGGGUGGUGAGUAAAGCGGCGAACGGGUGAGUAACACGUAAGAAACCUGCCCCUAAAUCCGGAAUAACAUUGCUAACGCGGUGCUAAUACCGGAUGUGGUCUCCAGUUUGCAUGAACAGGAGAUUAAAGGUGACCUCUACUUGUAAGUUAUCGUUUAGGGAUGGUCUUGCGGACCAUUAGCUUGUUGGCGGGGUAACGGCCCACCAAUGCUGCGAUGGUUAGCCGGCUUAAGAGGGUGAUCGGCCACAUUGGGACUGAGAUACGGCCCAGACUCCUACGGGAGGCAGCAGUAGGGAAUUUUGCGCAAUGGACGAAAGUCUGACGCAGCAACGCCGCGUGAGCGAUGAAGGUUUUCGGAUUGUAAAGCUCUGUUGAGUGGGAAGAAAACUCUCCGGGAUAAUACCCCGGAGACUUGACGGUACCACUCGAGGAAGCCCCGGCUAAAUACGUGCCAGCAGCCGCGGUAAUACGUAUGGGGCAAGCGUUGUUCGGAAUCACUGGGCGUAAAGGGAGUGUAGGCGGAAAGGUAAGUUAGAAGUGUAAUCCACGGGCUUAACCCGUGACUCGCUUUUAAUACUGCUUUUCUUGAGUAUGGGAGAGGGAGAUGGAAUUCCAGGUGUAGCGGUGGAAUGCGUAGAUAUCUGGAAGAACACCAGUAGCGAAGGCGGUCUCCUGGCCCAAUACUGACGCUGAGGCUCGAAAGCGUGGGGAGCGAACAGGAUUAGAUACCCUGGUAGUCCACGCCGUAAACGAUGGACACUAGAUGUUGGCCUCUUCGGGGGUCGGUGUCCGUAGCUAACGCG